CUGAGUAGGGGGCCCUAUGCAAGGCUCAGUCCCCAGGACCCUGGGAUCAUGACCUGAGCCAAAGGCAGAUCCUCAUUCGACACAGCAACCCAGGUGCUCCCUAUGUGGACAUUUGUAAGAAUGAUGUAGUAAGAGCUCAUUUAUCUGUUCAUUUUAUCAUUAACUUGGCAAACUUUUAGGACACCCACUUUACCCAAUAUAUUAAUUUUCUAUGGCUGUGUAACAAAUCACCACAAACAAACUGAGUGUCUUAAAACAACCCCUCAGAGUUCUGAUGCUUAGAAAUCCAGCAUGAUGUGUCUGGGUUCUCUGCCCACCCUGAAAUCAAGGUGUUGGCUGGUCGUGUUGACAUCUGGAUUCAGAGUCCUAAACACUGUACUCCUGUGAUUGACAGAAUUCAGUCUGUCAUGGUUAUAGGACUUGAGUCCAUAAUUCCUUGCUUUCUGUCAACUUGGGCCCACUGUAUCAUCUAGUGGCAGUCCUGCAUUCCUAGUCAUGAGGCCUCUUCCAUUUUCAAGCCAACAGCAGUAUGUGGAACCUUCCUAUUCUUGAAAUCCCUCUGAUACUUUUUUUUGCUACCUACCUGAGGAAACUCUGAUUUUAAAUAAGGACUUCCGUGAGUAAAUUAGGCCCACCCAGGUAGCCUCUGUAUUUUAAGGUUAGCUGAGUUGGGACUAUAAUUAUAUCUUCAAACUCCUUUAACCUAGUACUUAAAUUAGUGUUUGAUUGAACAACCAUAGGGCAGAAAUCUUAGAGGAGCCAUCUUUAGAAUUCGGCCUAUCAUACCCAACUUCCUAAUUUACCUCAUUGCCAAACAGGACAAACUUUGGACAGAACUUACCAUCUGUGACACUUCUGUGAAUCCUAAAAUAAAGACCACUAAAUGAGUGUCUAUUAAACAAAAAUGAUGACAGAUUCAUCUCCCAGUGGAAAUUACACAUCUUUCGAACUCUGGCCAAUAUUCCUCACCCUCAACACUCCUGGCUUUGUUAAAAAUAUCAUUUACCCUUUGAGGUACUUGUGUGGUCGGUACUGAGACCAAAUUAAUGAGGAACUUCAAAGGUUCGAGCAAGGAGAGAUGUGAGUGGUGGUAAACUGCACGGAAAUUAUCUCCAAAAUAAAACUUUGUCUGUGUAUCU